AUUGAACGCUGGCGGCAGGCCUAACACAUGCAAGUCGAGCGGAGCGGCGGACGGGUGAGUAAUGCCUAGGAAUCUGCCUGGUAGUGGUGGAUAAGAUCCGGAAACGGGCGCUAAUCUCGCAUACUUACAGAUGAGGCUAGGUCGGAUUAGCUAGUUGGUGGGGUAAAGGCAUACCAAGGCGACGAUCCGUAACUGGUCUGAGAGGAUGAACAGUCACACUGGAACUGAGACACGGUCCAGACUCCUACGGGAGGCAGCAGUGGGGAAUAUUGGACAAUGGGCGAAAGCCUGAUCCAGCCAUGCCGCGUGUGUGAAGAAGGUCUUCGGAUUGUAAAGCACUUUAAGUCGGGAGGCGUUACCAACAGAAUAAGCACCGGCUAACUUCGUGCCAGCAGCCGCGGUAAUUC
rnacentral:rRNA from 1 species